UCUUAAGGGUUAAGGAAAGAGCCACAAGCGUUGAGCAGGAGGACAGCGUAGCAACUGUAUGAAGAAGGUCUCCCAAGAAUUGACAAACAUUUCCCCAACAGAAGGAAUCGGAUUCACACACUGCCGGGCCCGAGAGUGCGCUGAAGGCUCAUGCCAGCUUCACGCGAGUACACGUGGUCCUGCUUCCUGGAUUCUCCUCUCUCCCCCUAUUCAUGGGAAAGAAACUGAGCACAGGAGAGGAAGGGGAGGAAACACAAGUGAUAAAAGUGAGUGCUGUGGACUGAACUGUGUCCCCCCAGAUUGACAUAUUGAGGCCCCAACCCCCAAUGUAGCUGAAUUUGAGAUGGGGCUUUAAGGAAAUAAUUAAGGUUAAACGAGGUCAUAAGGGUGGAGUCCUGAUCCAAUACGAUUAGUGCCCUUAUAAGAGACCCUAAAGAGACCUCUCUCUCUCCACCCUGUGAGGACACAGCAAGGAAGCAAUUUUCUGCAAGCCAGGAAGACAGUCCUCACCAGGAUCUGGGCUGGCCAGCACCUUGAUCUUGGACUUCCCAGCCUACAGAACCGUGAGAAACAAAUGUGUGUUGUUUGAACCACCAGGUCUCUGGCAUUCUGUUAUAGCAGCCUGAGCUGACUAACGCACGGAGAAGCCAGUCAAGCCCCUCCUCUGUCUUAAACUCACGAGCUGGAGGGAUGGGAGACUCAAUUUUAAACCAAACCUAGAGUUUCAAGCAUUAUAUAAAGCUGGAUAUUUUUCUGACAGGAGUGAGAUGAUAACUUGUUACUUUCAUUCCCAGAGAGUGAACAGAAACUGCAUGGGAUUGUUUCACAUUCCUUCCAGGGACUGGAGAAGAACUGGCCCAGAGCGGAUUUAAGAAGAUGGUCGGGACAGAAGAAAGCUGCUUGAGGAGUCCAUCCCAAGAACUGUUCUCGUUCAACACACCCACGAUAGAUCAGCCUCCAAAAUCAGUACAUCACAGGAGAGAUAAGCCACAUAUCCUUAAGGAGAUGGAAUGACUCCAGGCCCCUUACAAAUGACUGUGUCUGGCUGAGCGGGCCAGUCAGAACUGGACCUGCUCGCCAUGGAAACAAAGACAAAGCAGAGUGGGGGGCAGGCUGAGGGUGGUGACACCUAUGCAAGUUCCACCCAGGGGGUGGUACUCUCCGUCCAACAGCCUGAAGUGUUUCCAUUUCCAUGGCACACUGUCCCUCUGGUGGUGAGAGGGCAUUCACCUCGCGGUAGAGAGAUGCUCCUUAGGAUUGAUUCAUUGCCAAUGUCGUGAUAACAUCCUCACCUUUGGUUCCUGUGAGCUUGGUUCAGAUGAGUCUGCCCCUGAGGGAGGAGUCCGUUCUGUGUCCGCCAAACAUCAACCAAUCAUCAAGCAAUGGAUGGAUAAGAUUUCUAGUGGGAAGACUGAUACCCAACUCCUAGCAAAUUAUCAAGUUGGCUUGAUGUUUGACUAUUAUGACCAAUACUGGGAUGAAGAUUCGCUAAAAGUCUUUGUGUAGCUGCUGGGUUUAUUUCUCCUGCACAGCUACUUCAGAAUUGCUGGGUUGUAUGUGAAAAAUAUUUAGUUAUGAAAAUCUGGAUGAUCGUAACCUCAGAGGAGUUCAGAAAGCAUUAGUUAUCCCCUAGGUGGAUGCCCACCUGCAGAGCUUCAAGACUAGAAGGAGGAUGCCAGAGCCAGCAUUUCUCCAAGCGGGCAGACCCUGCCGGGGCGGAGCAGAGGGAGCAUUCAACAGACAGCGGCCGCAAACCUGGCGGUUUCCACCUCCAGUCCCGGGGAGCUGUUAGAACCCAAACUAUCAAAAUGGCAACAUUUAAUUGAACAGCUGUUUGCAAAUCACAUGCUUAUUAGCUGCACGCUGAAAAAAAUAAAAAGGCCUACUUGUAUUUCAGUCUACUGACCAUCAAGAGCCCCCGUUAUGGUUAGAAUUCUCUUGAUUGUAAGCAAGAGCACGGUCACCUGCUAACACAGGAGAAAGACCCACACGCUGGCAUGGGGAGGGUGAGGCCCCAGGCAGCUUUGGGCACUAGCUACAUUCUCUCCUCUCUUCUGGGCGACUUUCUUCUUCCCUCUCUCUGCUCAGCUGGUCCAAAAUGGCUUCCUCUGGACAUCCUACCUUCUCUCCCUCACCCCGUCACGUUUACAUGGGCUGCGUCUUCACCCUGGACUGUUUUCUCUCCCCUUCUUAGCCUGGCUGCAUCCUGCCUGUGGCUUCAGUCUUCUCAGGUGCAGCCUUUUCUAGGUAGCUGCCCUCGAUCCCCAAGGCUGGGGUCCCCGAGCCCACCUGUAAGCUCCCGUGUUCGCUGGUGCUAACUAUGCCAUCUUAGGUCUUUCCACUCUGCAGUGUAAUUGCCGGACCACUUCUGCCUCUCUCCCACUGCUCUGUGAGCCCUUUGAAGGCAGGGAUUGUCCCUUGUGCCCCCAGAGCUUUACACCAAGUAUGGAAACAUCUGUGAAUGACGUGCCCUGGGUUGUGUGGUGCCCCCUGACCAGGGGCUCAAUAAACACUUAUUGAAGGGACGAAUGAGUGAAUAAUUGAAUCUAUUGCUCAUACUUCUGGAUUGCACAUAAACUGUUCGCAUUGUCACAGCACCUCGUCUUCCCGCCUUUGUCUUCCCCAUCAUGGCAUGCAUCAGGUUUCUUGGGUCUGGAGUCUAAGUCCAGAGUUUUUAGUGCAAAUCAGUACAGGUCUAGCACUAAGUAAAAUGGUACUGAAACUGAUGGAGAGGGGCUCUGACUCACCUCUUGUCUUGGAUUCCCUGACUGAGAAUUCCAGAAAGAGCACACCUGCAGAGACAUGGCUCCAGAUGAGUGGGCUUGUCCAUGUCCAGGAGACAAAGUCUACUUUGGAUAUCAAAUGACUGAACUGGUUGGUACCCCUCUUGAAAACUUCCAUUCCCCACUGGAGAAAUUCAUAGUGUGUAAAGAGAAUAAUGGCUUGUGAUUUGUAUUUUUUCAUCUUAAGAAUUUUACCUAACGAUGUA